AGGGUAGAUUCUGUCGCUGUGCCUCCGUAGUGGAAUCUGGCAUAUUGUCCAGCGGACUUCAGCUUGCUUGAUUAUGGUCCGUUGUGGAGUAGGUGUCAUGGGUGAGUGUCUGACCUGCGUACUGGUCGUGCUGCGAUAUGCAAGCAGGGAUUCCUUAUGUUUUUGAGGUGUCAGUUUUCUUGGUUUCCCGUGGUAGAUAGGAAUAGUCUGUAUGGAUCAGGUGGUUAAAUGUGUUAGUGUGGGUUGGGAGGCCUCUUGGAGUGGGUCGUAGGAAGGGCAGGUGGGGGCGGGUAUCGAGGAGAGAUAUCCAGGUGCUGAUAGUGUGAAGAAGUGUGAAAAGAGAAGUAGGAAAAGAGAAGAAAAAAAAAGUAGGGGGGGAGGAGUGGGAGGGGGUGGGGAGGGUAGACAGAGGAGUGGGUUAGAAGUCAUGGUGCAGUUCAAGUGGUCUUGGUUGGAUAUUCUCUUUCUGUGUGUUGGUGGUGAUAUACAGUUUAAAAGCGAAAACUUUACAAAAUACGGCAUGGCGAGAUUACAAUUUAUUACAACAAUAGUACAGGUAGUCACAGAAUCCAAAACUGCUACACAAUAGUACAUAUUUGUAGAAAGUACAUCCUGCAGGCUAUGCAACUAAGAGCAUUUUGGCAUUUUUCAUUUAACUGGUUUAUGAAAAAUCUAGGUCAAAUUUGUUAUUUUUUUUGUGUAUUUUUUCCACACAUGCUUUAUUUUGGGGGAAUUCACAGACCACGCAUGUCCCAUCACAGCAAACCCCAUAUGUUUAUUUUGCUACUGUUGUCGAGAACAAUGAUACCCAAAAGAUAUAUCUUUUCCCCUAAUUCUACAUGGAGAAUUUUAUUCAACCCAUAAUCCAACCUAUAAUAUAGCCCAUAUUCCUACCCCUAAUCCAUCCCAUAAUUCGACGCUAGUCCAACUCGUAAUUUAAACCAUAAUCCUACCUAUAAUCCCAGUCGCAAUCCCACCUCUCAAGGGAUUCCCUCUGCUCUGUGAGCCCUCUGUUCAUUGUGAUUGCAGCAUGAAAGGGAGAGAUCAGCACUGAUCCUGCUGUAGGAGGAAUGCAUAUAGACUUCACCAGGUCAUUUCAGACCCUGGGGGCCUCCCUGAAACUUGGAGACACUGUGCCAGGCUGAGGGUGCAAAAAUAAGUUUUAAAUUUACUACAGUAGAGCGCGGCAUUUGUGGGCCAUGAGCAAUGCACACCUGAGAGCUGCUCAUAGGCCUCCUGUCAGUCUUGAGCCACUAACUGUGGCCCCAACUGACAGCCGGGACUUCCAGGUAUCAAAAAAAAUACCUGGGGUUCCCCCAUAUUUUUUUUUUUAAAACAUUGGAGACUGUGGGCAAUGAAGGAAAUACCACAGUUGAGCAAGAUUGUUAUGAGCAGCACUCCCUUUGAGUGCUGCUCAUCGUUCAUAUCUCAUUGAGGGGUAACUAACUGUGGCCCCAGCUGACAGAGGGAUCCCUGAGAUUUAACCCCUGCUGGUACCUUUAUUGCAUAAUGUUCUAUGCCAGGGGUAGGCAACCUUUUAGCAGCACUGUGCCGAUAUAGGAUUGUGAUGUCCCGUAGCGUGCCGGUCCUAUUUUUUUUUAACUCCUUAAGGACACAUGACGUGUUACAUGUCACGAUUCCCUUUUAUUCCAGAAGUUUGGUCCUUAAGGGGUUAAAUUGAGGUGUGUAUGCUGCCGUAUUCUGCUUGUGUUAUUUAAACUGUGUUACGGUACACCCCGGUAUAAGAGGGGUUAAUACCGCUGAAGACGUUCCCUUUCUGAAUGAAGAAGCAGCUAACAGCAGUUCCAAUUAGCUGAACAGGAACCAUACGAAAUCCUUCACGAACCAAACAGCCGAACUAGUAAAUCAUACGAAUCCAAUACCCCCAAGUACGAGACCAAGCUCCGUAUUGAGAGUUAAGCAGAGAUCUUUUUUAUUGAGGGCUACCUGCCCGGUAUUUAUGCAGGUCUCCCACCUGGUGGACACUCCCCUAGGGGACCAGAUGGGAGACUGGGACAAUGUGGAUGCAGUAGCCAAGUACAAGCAUAAACACUCUCCUUUGAUGUAGAUAAACCCUCCUCUCUAUCCUGUAGAUAAUUGGGAAGUAAUCCAAUUAUCUCCAUGGAUAGAGGCCAAACUCCAUUUUGUACCUGAACAUAAAAAUACAAUAAAAUCAAUAACUUUACAUUAUACGAACAGAAUCCCCACAUUCAACGUAUCCCCAGAUAGCUGGGAUCUGAGCACACAUUAUUACCGAAUGCCGCUCAGAUACUAUGCAUACAGUUCAAUCGCCAUGGAGCCAAAGUCUUUCGCUAUAUGAACGGGCUACAUGGGAUGGCUAUCUGGGGUGCGUCUAUUCGUGCUGGAAAGUGCCGAACGGUCCGACGUUCGUGUGCUGGAUGGCAGAGAAGGGAGGUCAGUGGCUUCAGCGGUGUACGUGCAAAAUAGUGUCUGUUUUCAGUUUCAUAGUUUUGGUGCCGAACACCGCUGGCCGUUCGGGACUCUAAAAUAGCCGCCGCCACGUGGGAGGUACAUGAACAGCGACCUCCCAACGUUCACCAAUUAAGCUGCGGUUAACCGAAGGAUAGACGAAGGAAACAAAAUAGAGCAUAGUUCCAAGACAGAGGGGUCUGUCACAUACUGUAAUUGCUUUGUAUUGUUGUAUUUGUGCUUAUAUGAGCUAUUAUAUUGUAUAUGUUCAGGAGUAGUUUGUGGUAUUGUGUAUGAUACAUAUGAAUGUGGGCUGUGUAUGGUGGCUGCUUGUGGCAUUGUGUGUGUGGAUGGAUAUGUCACAUUGUGUGUUUGGUAGUGUGUGUGUGUGGGGCUGUAUGGGGUAUUGCAUGUGCAAGGCUGCAUGUGGGGUUUUGUGCAUGUAUGUGGAUUGUUAGCGGGUUACGUUUGUGCGGAUUGUGUGUAUGUUUGUUUGUGGGCUGUUCAUAUUAUUUGUAUGAGGGGAGGGUUAUUGUGCAUUUCUGUGUAUAUCUAGCAGUGUGGGUGGCUUCCCUGGGUUCCAGUGGGGACCAAGCUGGCCAGGUACAGCUCAAGGACAGGAGCUGCAACAGCAGCUGCAGGCUGCUCUACUACAUUGUAGAUUCCCAUUCACAAGUGUUGGAAGGAAGUGACCUGCAAUGCAUAAUUUGAGGCUUGUCCUUCACCAACUUUUCGUAUUAGCAGAUAUCUGAAGUUUCACUGGGACUCCUGAUAGGCCAGAGCCUGUUUGGCUGUAGCAGCCUUGAGUGUCGUGCAAAGACACCUGGAGUGCCGUAGGUUGCCUACCCCUCUCUAUGCUAUCACUGGACAUUAGAGACCUGCACUGCAUGACAGCGCUGACUGUCAUGUGGUCUUAACUCCUUCACUACCAAGCAAUUUGCAAAAAAACAAAAGCAGAAUUAGAGUAUUUUGGGUGUCCUGGAAAGUAAUGUGUAAAUGUAUUUUUCAUUUCAGUAUGCAUAGAAAGCACAUUAUUAAAUGGAAACAAACAAAAAUUGUGGUUUCAAAUCAAAUAAUGAAGAAACAGGCAAGGAAACUGUUUUGUAAAUAAAUAUACAUAUUGUGUAAUUAUAAUAUAUGUCACAUUGCCAUGAUAUGACCCAUACACAUAUCACCCUCAUUGCAGCCACAUUGCUUCUUUGGACAUAAACAUACUAAUACAUGCGCGCACACACACACACAUAUAUAUAUAUAUAUAUAUAUACACAUACAUACACACACACACACUGGUACAUGCACGUAUUUACACUCUGAAACAUGCACACAGAUAAGCACACAUGUAUCUGUGAAUCACUGAUACAACUGCCAGAAGGACAGACACACAGAUAUUCACUGCUGCCACAAAGACAAGUACACUCUUUGUAUUCUCUGGUUUUUCAUAUCAGAACAUUAAAACAAUCACCUGUCCCUUGGCAGGUCUUAAAAUUAGGUAAAUACCUCAGGUGAACAAAGCCACAUGACAUUGUACUGUGUUAUAAUUUAGCAAAGAUAAAGCCAAAAUGGAGAAGUUGUGUGUGACAAACUAAGUACACCUUAUGAUUCAAUAGCUUGCAGAACCUUUAGCAACAAUAACUUUAAAUAGUAAUUCUCUGUAUGACUAUCACAUUGUUGUGGAAGACUUUUGGUCCACUCUUCUUAACGUUGUAUAGUGUCGUCUGGUACCACCGCCAGUACAUAAAGGGUUAAAAAACAAAAACAAAAACAAAAAACACCCUUUAAUCACCUGAGUCCAGAGCCGAGACCUGAACUUUGUUGGGUCCAUUGCAGCACCUUGAUUCAUUUCUUUUUCAGCCAUUCUGUUGAGACUGUAGCCAUCUCCUCCAAUGAGCCAUCAGAAUGUAGCAGCUCUGAGUAGAAGAGCCGCUUCAGAGGGAGACUGUAUUCGGCGGCUCACAGCUUGGAGGUUUUUGUGCUGCCAAGUUGUGAGUUUCAGGACUGAAUAUAGGUAUAAUUUGCAAGUGAAAUUAGUUUGCAAUAAACUAUUUGCAUUAGUGUAUACACCAUUGCAGGGUAUAAAUGCAUACUCAGGCAACCUUUCAUACCCACUUCCAAGAAAUAUGACAGGGAGGCCAGGAGUCUGCAGCUGUCAGUUUGGUACUACCGGCAUCUCCAAACUCUUGCAUCUUGUUUUAAACAAGAACCCAUUGACUCAAACUUAAUUGAAGUUUAAAAAAAAAAAACAAAAAAAACAAACACUUUUACCCCUUCCUUGUCAGAAUAGUGAUAGCUGGUAAGUUCAGAGAUUGAAUAACUCUCAGAAGUACAGAGAUUAAUGUGACAAUAUCUCCAAAUUAGAGCAGAUAGUGCUAAAAGAAUUUACCAAUGGUACCAACUUAAUCAAACCUUUCGACAAGGGAGGAAAUAUUGCGCUCAUGUCUUAUAUCAAUGUGUAUGGAUCACCUUUGUAAUUCAGAUGGAUAUGAGGUGCUCAAAUAUGGUCCCACUGAAAAAGUUAAGGAAACUUUUAACAGAGUCCUGUACUGAAAAAUUGAUCUCUUGGAAGGAAUUUACAUUCAGGUUCUAAAAGAUAUCAACCAAGGCAACAUUUUACCAUUUGUGGACUUCCGGCAGAACCAAAAGUCCAGUUGUCUCAGGAAAGGGAUGUAUGAGAACUGCAGCAUCUUUGGACAAGAUUCUAUGCCCCCAUCAUACAUUCAGGACACCCAAUCUGCCAUAAAUUGUCAAAUCUUAAGUGUAUUGAGAGAUCACGUUUAGCCAGUUUGGAUGUAGUAACACUUUACAACAUUCCCAUAGGGCUGCACUUGAAGCUUGCAGAGGUCUGCUACUCCAGUCUUCCUUAUACUCUAACAAUCUGGCAUUUUAUUGUAAGUUUACUGGAUUUCAUCUUAAGACAACUAUUUAGUUUAUUUACAAAGUGAGAAUUACAUGGGCACUUGUGUUCCCAAACAGGCCAACAUGUUUUUGGCAUGUGGGAGCAGAACUACAUCUACCAUUCACCCACUUAUUACAGGUUGCUUGGCAUAUCAAUAAUGAUGUAAUCUACAUGUGGCAGUGAGGAGAUUCUUUCACAAUUGGGUGACAGUCCUGAAUAAUGAGGGCCUCACUGAAAUCAGUAUUUGUCAAUAAACCGAUCACAUUUUUGGAUUUCAGCAUUGCCAUUGAUGAGAGCACAACUAAGCGGUUCAGAAAGACGGCAAACCAUUUGAGCUGGAAUAUAUUUCACUUCCAAAUGUGGCAUAUCAUACAGGUAAUUGGAGGGCACAGAGAAACUGUUCAGAGACUAGUAUUUCCUUAAGGAUGCUGCAGUUUUGAAAUCAUACUUUCUGGAAAAGUGCUACCACAAGUGCCAC